GCCGGCGGUUCGGGCGCCACGUGCAGGGUCACGCCCUGCACCGCGCGGAUCGUCACCGCGUCGCCGGCG
rnacentral:tRNA from 4 species